AUUGAACGCUGGCGGCAGGCCUAACACAUGCAAGUCGAACGGUAACAGGAAGAAGCUUGCUUCUUUGCUGACGAGUGGCGGACGGGUGAGUAAUGUCUGGGAAACUGCCUGAUGGAGGGGGAUAACUACUGGAAACGGUAGCUAAUACCGCAUAACGUCGCAAGACCAAAGAGGGGGACCUUCGGGCCUCUUGCCAUCGGAUGUGCCCAGAUGGGAUUAGCUAGUAGGUGGGGUAACGGCUCACCUAGGCGACGAUCCUUAGCUGGUCUGAGAGGAUGACCAGCCACACUGGAACUGAGACACGGUCCAGACUCCUACGGGAGGCAGCAGUGGGGAAUAUUGCACAAUGGGCGCAAGCCUGAUGCAGCCAUGCCGCGUGUAUGAAGAAGGCCUUCGGGUUGUAAAGUACUUUCAGCGGGGAGGAAGGGAGUAAAGUUAAUACCUUUGCUCAUUGACGUUACCCGCAGAAGAAGCACCGGCUAACUCCGUG
rnacentral:rRNA from 1 species